AUUGAACGCUGGCGGCAGGCCUUACACAUGCAAGUCGAGCGGAGCGCCGGACGGGUGCGUAAUGCCUAGGAAUCUGCCUGUUCGUGGGGGAUAGCGUCCGGAACUGGGAGCUACUACUGCAUACUCUCACAUGAGCCUAGGUCGGAUUUGCUAGUUGGUGGGGGAAAGGCAUACAAAGGCCACGAUCCGUAUCUGGUCUGAGAGGAUGAUCAGUCACACUGGAACUGAGACACGGCCCAGACUCCUACGGGAGGCAGCAGGGGGGAAUAUUGGACAAUGGGCGAAAGCCUGAUCCAGCCAUGCCGCGUGUGUGAAGAAGGUCUUCGGAUUGUAAAGUACUUUUAGUUGGGAGGCGUUAUCUGCAGAAUAAGCACCGGCUAACUACGUGCCAGCAGCCGCGGUAAUUC
rnacentral:rRNA from 1 species